rnacentral:rRNA from 1 species
UGGAUGAGCCCCCGGCCUAUCAGCUUGUUGGUGGGGUAAUGGCCUACCCAGGCGUCGGCGGGUAGCCGGCCUCAGAGGGUGGACGGCCACAUUGGGACUGAGACACGGCCCAGACUCCUACGGGAGGCAGCAGUGGGGAAUAUUGCACAAUGGGCGCAAGCCUGAUGCAGCGACACCGCGUGGGGGAUGACGGCCUUCGGGUGGUGAACUCCUUUUUGCCAUCCGAAGCUUUCGGGAGGGGUAAGUCUUCUAAAGCACCGGCCACACAAGGA